CACAGCCCUUGGGGCACCCGUUUUGAUGGUGGUGGUGAGGGAGGAAUAAUUGUGCAUCAUGACUAUCUGAGACCGUAGAGCUGUUCUGUUGAUAGCCAUGAAAUACAGAAAAGAGAAAGGACAUCAACCACCUCCCCACACGAAAAGGGAAAAGAAACAAAACUGGAAGGCCAUGAGAGCCCUGAACUCACUGCCA